GAUGAACGCUGGCGGCGUGCCUAAUACAUGCAAGUCGAGCGAACAGACGAGGAGCUUGCUCCUCUGACGUUAGCGGCGGACGGGUGAGUAACACGUGGAUAACCUACCUAUAAGACUGGGAUAACUUCGGGAAACCGGAGCUAAUACCGGAUAAUAUAUUGAACCGCAUGGUUCAAUAGUGAAAGACGGUUUUGCUGUCACUUAUAGAUGGAUCCGCGCCGCAUUAGCUAGUUGGUAAGGUAACGGCUUACCAAGGCAACGAUGCGAAGCCGACCUGAGAGGGUGAUCGGCCACACUGGAACUGAGACACGGUCCAGACUCCUACGGGAGGCAGCAGUAGGGAAUCUUCCGCAAAGGGCGAAAGCCUGACGGAGCAACGCCGCGUGAGUGAUGAAGGUCUUCGGAUCGUAAAACUCUGUUAUUAGGGAAGAACAAAUGUGUAAGUAACUAUGCACGUCUUGACGGUACCUAAUCAGAAAGCCACGGCUAACUACGUG
rnacentral:rRNA from 1 species